rnacentral:rRNA from 1 species
GAUGAACGCUGGCGGCGUGCCUAAUACAUGCAAGUCGAGCGAAUGGAUUAAGAGCUUGCUCUUAUGAAGUUAGCGGCGGACGGGUGAGUAACACGUGGGUAACCUGCCCAUAAGACUGGGAUAACUCCGGGAAACCGGGGCUAAUACCGGAUAACAUUUUGAACCGCAUGGGUCGAAAUUGAAAGGCGGCUCGGGCUGUCACUUAUGGAUGGAACCGCGUCGCAUUAGCUAGUUGGGGAGGUAACGGCUCACCAAGGCAACGAUGCGUAGCCGACCUGAGAGGGUGAUCGGCCACACUGGGACUGAGACACGGCCCAGACUCCUACGGGAGGCAGCAGUAGGGAAUCUUCCGCAAUGGACGAAAGUCUGACGGAGCAACGCCGCGUGAGUGAUGAAGGCUUUCGGGUCGUAAAACUCUGUUGUUAGGGAAGAACAAGUGCUAGUUGAAUAAGCUGGCACCUUGACGGUACCUAACCAGAAAGCCACGGCUAACUACGUGCCAGCCGCCGCAGUAA